GAUGAACGCUGGCGGCGUGCCUAAUACAUGCAAGUCGAGCGAACGGACGAGAAGCUUGCUUCUCUGAUGUUAGCGGCGGACGGGUGAGUAACACGUGGAUAACCUACCUAUAAGACUGGGAUAACUUCGGGAAACCGGAGCUACUACCGGAUAAUAUUUUGAACCGCAUGGUUCAAAAGUGAAAGACGGUCUUGCUGUCACUUAUAGAUGGAUCCGCGCUGCAUUAGCUAGUUGGUAAGGUAACGGCUUACCAAGGCAACGAUGCAUAGCCGACCUGAGAGGGUGAUCGGCCACACUGGAACGGAGACACGGUCCAGACGCCUACGGGAGGCAGCAGUAGGGAAUCUUCCGCAAUGGGCGAAAGCCUGACGGAGCAACGCCGCGUGAGUGAUGAAGGUCUUCGGAUCGUAAAACUCUGUUAUUAGGGAAGAACAUAUGUGUAAGUAACUGUGCACAUCUUGACGGUACCUAAUCAGAAAGCCACGGCUAACUACGUG
rnacentral:rRNA from 1 species